rnacentral:misc_RNA from 1 species
UCCGGUUUGUCACCGGCAGUCUCAUUAAAGUGCCCAACUGAAUGAUGGCAAUUAAUGACAAGGGUUGCGCUCGUUGCGGGACUUAACCCAACAUCUCACGACACGAGCUGACGACAGCCAUGCAGCACCUGUGUUACCGCUCCCUUUCGGGCACACCCACCUCUCAGCGGGCUUCGGUACAUGUCAAGGGUAGGUAAGGUUUUUCGCGUUGCAUCGAAUUAAUCCACAUAAUCCACCGCUUGUGCGGGUCCCCGUCAAUUCCUUUGAGUUUUAAUCUUGCGACCGUACUCCCCAGGCGGUCAACUUCACGCGUUAGCUGCGUUACCAAGCCCGUUAAGACCCGACAACUAGUUGACAUCGUUUAGGGCGUGGACUAC